AAAAGGUAUUACAUUUGUUUUUGUCACUUUGAUAAGUAUAUAAAGUUUAUAGUAUAUAUUUAUUAAUUUUGAAAUAUAACAAAACGAUUGCAAUUUGAUUUAAAAAAAUGAAUUUGGUCAUCACUUCAGUCAUAUUUUUGAUAGUCUUUUUGUAUGAAUCCUGUGGAUUAGAUGAACAAACAGAAUGCUCUAUUUGUUUUAAUGAAUUUAAGGGCCUUGUUUUAAUAACUGAGUGCAAUCACGUAUUUUGCUAUGAUUGUCUUAAUCUUUGGAGAGAAAGAAAAUCAAUUUGUCCUAAAUGCCGAAAGUACAUUCGAAAAA